CUCCAUAAAUCCAUGUUUAAUCAUGACAUAAACAGUCUGGUGGCUCACCUGUCACCGAGAGAGUUGCAUAGGACGAGACGCGCUCUGCAGUGAAUCGGAUAUCUCCAGCAUGCUGUGGCCUGACCGACUUGAAGAGCAGGAUGUCGAAUUCUGCAGUCAUCUCUGUACCACCGACCCUCCAAAUCCACCUGGUUGACCUCACACAGGAAAUUCACAGGUUGACGCUCAACUGUGUCGACAUCCUCCAGCUCUUUCACUAUGUGGAUGUCCCUAGCUGGCAGAAGUUAGAGCACUGAGGUCGACCGACCAGAAGCUCCAAGAUGUCCCCAGAACUAGACACAAAAACCGUGGUGACCAAGCCUUUGCGGUGGCCGCCCUUGAUCUCUGGAACAGCUUACCUUUU